UACACUCCUACGGGAGGCAGCAGUGGGGAAUAUUGGACAAUGGGCGCAAGCCUGAUCCAGCCAUGCCGCGUGAGUGAUGAAGGCCCUAGGGUUGUAAAGCUCUUUCACCGGUGAAGAUAAUGACGGUAACCGGAGAAGAAGCCCCGGCUAACUUCGUGCCAGCAGCCGCGGUAAUACGAAGGGGGCUAGCGUUGUUCGGAUUUACUGGGCGUAAAGCGCACGUAGGCGGACUAUUAAGUCAGGGGUGAAAUCCCGGGGCUCAACCCCGGAACUGCCUUUGAUACUGGUAGUCUUGAGUUCGAGAGAGGUGAGUGGAAUUCCGAGUGUAGAGGUGAAAUUCGUAGAUAUUCGGAGGAACACCAGUGCGAAGGCGGCUCACUGGCUCGAUACUGACGCUGAGGUGCGAAAGCGUGGGGAGCAAACAGGAUUAGAUACCCGUGUAGUCCCA
rnacentral:rRNA from 1 species